rnacentral:rRNA from 1 species
GACGAACGCUGGCGGCGUGCCUAACACAUGCAAGUCGGACGGAUCAGGUAUGACAGCUUGCUGUAGUGCCUGGUUAGUGGCGGACGGGUGAGUAACGCGUGAGGACCUACCCUGGAGAGGGGGAUAACGGCUGGAAACGGCUGCUAAUACCCCGUAAGCCUGAGGGUGAAAGGGAGCGAUCUGCUCCGGGGCGGCCUUGCGUCCUAUCAGCUAGUUGGUGGGGUAAUGGCCUACCAAGGCGAAGACGGGUAGCCGGCCUGAGAGGGCGACCGGCCACACUGGAACUGAGACACGGUCCAGACUCCUACGGGAGGCAGCAGUGGGGAAUAUUGGGCAAUGGGGGCAACCCUGACCCAGCGACGCCGCGUGAGGGACGAAGUCCUUCGGGAUGUAAACUCUGUUGUGGGGAAGAAGUCAGUGACGGUACCUCACGAGGAAGCCCGGCAACUACGUG